rnacentral:rRNA from 1 species
AUUGAACGCUAGCGGGAGGCCUAAUACAUGCAAGUCGAACGGUAAAUGGUAGCAAUACUAUGAGAGUGGCGUACGGGUGCGUAACGCGUACACAACCUGCCUUGUACUGGGGGAUAGCCUCGGGAAACUGAGAUUAAUACCCCAUAAUUUUACGAUGUGGCAUCACAUUGUAAUUAAAGCUCCGGCGGUACAAGAUGGGUGCGUGUCCGAUUAGGUAGUUGGUGAGGUAACGGCUCACCAAGCCGACGAUCGGUAGCUGGUCUGAGAGGACGAUCAGCCACACGGGCACUGAGACACGGGCCCGACUCCUACGGGAGGCAGCAGUAGGGAAUAUUGGACAAUGGACGCAAGUCUGAUCCAGCCAUCCCGCGUGAAGGAUUAAGGCCCUCUGGGUUGUAAACUUCUUUUCUUUGGGAAUAAAAAGCGGUAUUCAUAUCGCCUUGAAGGUACCAGGGGAAUAAGCACCGGCUAACUCCGUGCCAGCCGCCGCAGUAA